rnacentral:rRNA from 1 species
AUUGAACGCUGGCGGCAUGCCUUACACAUGCAAGUCGAACGGCAGCACGGGAGCAAUCCUGGUGGCGAGUGGCGAACGGGUGAGUAAAGUAUCGGAACGUGCCCAGUCGUGGGGGAUAACGUAGCGAGAGUUACGCUAAUACCGCAUACGAUCUAUGGAUGAAAGCGGGGGAUCGCAAGACCUCGCGCGAUUGGAGCGGCCGAUAUCAGAUUAGGUAGUGGGUGGGGUAAAGGCUCACCAAGCCGACGAUCUGUAGCUGGUCUGAGAGGACGACAAGCCACACGGGGACUGAGACACGGCCCAGACUCGUACGGGAGGCAGCAGUGGGGAAUUUUGGACAAUGGGCGAAAGCCUGAUCCAGCCAUGCCGCGUGGAGGAUGAAGUCCUUCGGGUUGUAAACUGCUUUUGUACGGAACGAAAAGGUUUGGCCUAAUAAGCUGAGCUCAUGACGGUACCGUAAGAAUAAGCACCGGCUAACUACGUGCCAGCCGCCGCCGUAA